AAAAAAGAUAUCUGUUGUAAGGAAUGAACAUAUAAUAACAAAAAAGAAGACUUAUUUUGGCAAACUUUGGAAAUCUGGCUUUGUAAUCCACUAGAACAAGCCUUGUUGGGGAAAGGAGCAGGGCCUGGAACUGACAGAAUCAGCAGUCGAGUAGAGAAUAAAGAAAAGGCAGGAGCUGAAGCUCUGACUGAAUAUGAUUCUGAACUGGACAUGCUUGUAGUACUGACUGGCUGAAUAUACUGCUACUGAGAUAAGUGAAUCUGAUUUGCUCACAUUUUUGGCAAGUAACUCUGUGAACAAAGGUUAUGGGUGAGUAAGCAAGAAAAGGCAGAAAUGAAUUCCCAUCUAAGCCAAAUAAUAUAGUACCAUUCACAAGUCUUUUUUAAUAGGGGUGGUGCUAGGCUGGGUGUAUCCUCAGCAUGACACAACUUGCUCAGUUACACACUGACUAUGAAUCAGCUAAAAUGAUAAAGUGACAAAGUUUAUACUAGAUGCUGAGAUUCUGCAGUCAACAGUACAGUACGCAGAUUAUUCACUGUGGCUCAAAAAGAAAGGCAGACGACAAGAAUAACAGUGAGUAGUGCACCCUUUUGCAUCAGCUUCGGAAAAGCGAUGAUAAGUGACAUAACAGACACUCAGAAAGUGUAUGAGAAAUGAAUCAGCUAAUUCAAAAUAUUUUGGGAAGUAGUCCAUUUGCCCUGUCCAGUAUUCUAAACCCUAGUGAUGUACACCUAUACAUCUAUGUACAUUCACAUUCAUAUUGGAUCUCCCCUUAGCUGCCAUUCUGAAUGAGCUAUUUGAGUCCAUUUGAGAAUAUUUUAAAUUUGUAAAUCUCUCACUUAGCUUCCAUGAGCCUCUGAAUAAAGGUAAUCCAGUCUCCUGGGUCAGGUUGUCGCAUGCACAUGCACUCAGAGUGGAAAAUGACAGUAUUUUCUUUGCCAUUAUAGAGAACCUAAAGGAAAUACAAAGCUACAUGUUUAAUGUCAGUAAAUUAAAUCCAGUGUUUGAGAAAUGGGAAUGUUGCAGAAACAUAAGUAACAUUACAGAGUGUUAUUAAAGGCUUCAGUUUUUUAUGUCAUAAUUUUCUAUCAUUUCAAAUUUCCUUCAUUCAUCUCCAGUAAGCACUUUACUGCAAUAUUUUUUGGCUUAUGCAAAAUACCUAAAACUGUAAUAGGCUAAUGUACAGCUUGUGUAAAACACUGCAACUAAGGCUUUAACAAACGCUCUUAUUGCUUCCACCAUCUAAUUGCUAGUUAAUGCUCUUCAAGACCUUUCAAUAUGGGUACAUUACACUUCUACUACAAGUUAAAAAAUACACCAAAAUCAGCAUUUAUUACAUGUAUAAAACUAUUCAUAAUUUGGUGUUUGCUUGCGUGACAUAAAAGUCUUGCUUGACCUGUGGUUGUGGUCGAAUAAACCCUCUUGCAUGUUAACAGUAAGAGUUGUAAAAGAAGAGAUCAUGUGCUUCUCCAAUGUAAAGUCUUUUCUCUCCCACACCAGAUGUAAAAUGGUUUAAUGCCUUGAAUUUUGCCAUCCAUUAUUUACUCUGAGUAUCACCCCUACUACUACUGCCUGUUCAACAUUUGUACAACAGUCUUAGCGUGUUAAUGAAUACACAUCUAGAUGUGUACUUUGAGUUUGUUUGCCUAGUGUCUCGAAAUGGACCUUUACAUAUGGAUUUACUACAGGAGAUUGCUUUAAUACUACACAGCCCAGCUUCACCUAAUCUUUCAUUAAAUGUUUGUCAAAAUGUCUAUAUUAUUCAUCAAUCUUGGUUUAAUGGAAUAUUUUAGCGUAUCAGAUAUCUGCAGUAUCAAACUUAUCAUUUAUCAAGCUCAAACUCUUUUCUAACGAAAAGUCAUACCUAAAGCCUCUGACCCGGAGUUAACAGACACCGUUAACUAAUUAGUUAACGUUAUUAGUUAGUUCGAAUUAAUUCGAUGAAAAUUCAACCCUCAUUCGACAGCAGGCUUUUAACGUGACAGUUUAAGCCCCACCCUGACACACAGCUGAUUGGUCAGUGUGCUCUUCACAUGGCUCAUCUGGAUCAUCAAACAUCUGCAAUCUGUAUUUUUCUGAGUAAAUAAUCUGAUGUGGAUGCCAAGAAUAAAAGUGUUUAAAGUGGUCUUGUUCCAGUCACUCCAUCAUCUAGAUAUUUAACAACUCAUUCUAAGAACAGUGAAUUAUUCAACCAAAAGAUUUAUUUAAAUCAAUAUGGUAAAGAAAGAAAGAAAAACAAUACAAUACAUGUGGGCUAGGUUGCCAAUGAAUAAAUUUAAUUACAAAUUUUAAUCCAGACGUGAUGCUCUAAAUCUCUGUGCGGAACUGUAGAGACGUGUUCUGCAUCCUCUGCUUGUAGUGUUCAUCAAACUGUUCAUUCUGAGCCACGGUGAAGUGAUUCUUCCAGUCACCGACUUUACCUGAAGAAACAAGCAGAAGGGAAAAAAGAGAAGCAAUAAAUCAGACAGAACUAAAAUGGGUUCACCUGGUUUUAUUAAUAAUCUUUUUUUAGAAAUAUAUUGACAAUGACAAUAUCAACCAAACACAGAAGCUCAUGUUUUCCCCCAGAUGAACAGAAAAAGGGCAUCUUUGCAGUAUAAGGAACAACUUAAUACAUAAAUGUUGGGUAAGGGACACUGACUGAGACUGACACAAGGUGAGUGGAGCCUUGACAGUGACCGUGAGUGGAGCACUGAGUGAAUGUGAAUCAGGACAGAAUAGGCUUGUAAAGCCACCUAGCUGUGUGUUGGUACUGAGAUAAGCAAUUUUUUUGAGAAGUGAGUCUGUGUCCAAAGGAUAAAGAUGAGUAGAAUGAAUUUCAUUCCCACUUAAGCCAUAUGAUGUAUUAACAAUUAAAGUCUUUUUAACAGGUGUGUGUGUGUGCUGUUGAGCUCUGUGUGUCGUCAGCUACAGUACAAUAAAGCUAAAUGACUCAGCUUAAAUGAUUGAAUGAGUGUGUGAAAUGGAUAUUGAGAUAGAAUUCUGCAAUCAGUCAUUAACACUAUUUUGACUCAGAUUGCAUUUUACCAGAGAAAUAUACUGCUCAAAAAAAAAAUAAAGAAACACUUUGAAAACACAUCAGUUCUCAAUGGGGAAAAAUAUCAUGCUGGAUAUCUAUACUGAUAUGGACUGGGUAAUGUUUUUUAGGAAUGAAAGGAUGCCACAUCGUUUGAUGGAAAUAAAAAUGAUCAAGAAACCCCAAAAAUCAAAGUGAAAAAAUGAUGCAUACAUUACAGUCCAUUUUGCUGAAAUUUCACAAUGUCGGGGCAUGCUCCUAAUGAGAUGGCGGAUGGUGUCCUCUGGUAUUUUCUCCCAGAUCUGGAACAGGUAAUCACUGAGCUCCUGGACAGUCUGAGGUGCCACCUGGCAGCGUCGGAUGGACCAAAACAUAAUUCCCCAGAGGUGUUCUAUUGGAUUUAGCUCAGGCGAGCGUGGGGGCCAUUCAAUGGUAUCAAUUCCUUCAUCCUCCAGGAACUGCCGGCAUACUCUCGCCACAUGAGGCCAGGCAUUAUCGUGCACCAGGAGGAACCCAGGACCCACUGCACCAGCGUAGGGUCUGACAAUGGGUUCAAGGAUAUCAUCCCGAUACCUAAAGGCGGUCAGAGUGCCAUUGUCUAGCCUGUAGAAGUCUGUGUGUCCCUCCAUGGAUAUGUCUCCCCAGACCCACCACCAAACCGGUCAUGCUGAAUGAUGUUACAGGCAGCAUAAUGUUCUCUAUGGCUUUUCCAGAAAGGGUGAACCUGCUCUCAUCUGUGAAAAGCACAGGGUGCCAGUAGCAGACCUGUCAAUUCUGGUGUUCAAUGGCAAAUGCCAAUCAAGCUCGACGGUGCUGGGCAGUGAGCACUAGAGGACCUUUGGCCCUCAGGCCAACCUUCAGGAAGUCUGUUUCUGAUUGUUUGGUCAAAGACAUUCACACAAGUGGCCUGCUGGAUAUCAGAAAAAAAGAGCAGCUUUUCAGUGGCCUGCUGAAAAGUUAAGGACCUUCUACGGCCCUGUCCAGCUCUCCUAGAGUAACUGCCUGCCUCCUGGAAUCUCCUUCAUGCUCACGAGACUGUGCUGGGAGACACAGCAAACCUUCUGGCAAUGGCACAUAUUGAUGUGCCGUCUUGGAGGAGUUGGACUGAAUGUUAGGGGAAAUGCUCUAUUAUAUUUUAACGUGCUAGUUGUUUCCCACCCGGCUGUUAACUGACAAUCUGCUGAGUGCUAAUGAGACUCGUUGAGAAUGCUCCAAUCACAUGAGGCCAAAUAUAUAAAAACAACAUUGAUUCGCUAACAAAACUGGGAGGGUUCAAGGACAAUUUGAAAUAAGCCAUUCGGAGCUCAGUCUCAAGUUCAAAAUUUUACGGACCAACACACUCGAUUGUCCGGCGUCCCACACACACACAUGAACGGAACAUAGUUUUGAUUUUUUUUAUUUUAAAUAAAUUAUUAAAAUAAAAAGAAUUUGAAGUAUUUCACUUCUGCAACAUUUCAUGUAUGCAUUUAAACUCCUGAGCGGUUAUAGACUUGGAGGAAACAAUGUGCUGCCCUCUGUGAUGACCAGGAACAUGGUGAGAUUUUAAACUCUUUAUCCAAGAAAACCAUUUUUUUUUGUAUUUUAAAGAUUGUAAUUUUUGUUUGUUUUUUUUGGCAUUUUUGUUUUUUGGACAGUGGCAGUAAAAACACAGUGGAGAGAGAUGGGAUGAUUUGCAGCAAAGGGCCUGAGCUGGAACUGAAGCUUGACUGCCUGAAGAACAGUAUAUGGUACAAGUUCUACCAGUUGUUCUUGAAAUGGACCUCAUCAAUCUCUUUCCUGUUCUACAAAUCCCCCCUUUUGAUCAGAUGCUGGUCUUGUCCAGGAUAAAUAUUGAGGGGAUCUUCUCAGCCCACAGUGGACAACAUGCAAGUCCUCAAGCUGAACUAGUGACAGUACAUGCUGUAGCUUCCAGUUUCUCAAACAUCUUGUCCAAUUCUAUCCCAUGUCUUCACACAAAUCUGGACUCAGUGACUUAUUCCUCUUGUUCAACCAGGGCAAGUAAGCCCUGAUACAUAAUGUUUGUUUAUUUCACCAUGGAUUAUCCAAUCAUAUGGACAUGUGCUGUUUUUUCAAGAUUUCAUUACUAAUUUGUGAGUAUUGGGCAAGGUAUUUGAUUAAUUCAAACUGUUAACACUGAACAUGUUUUCUUGCUUUAGUCUGACAAU